GUACCAGUGUGAUACAGUGGUUUGGGUGUUUGACUAAGACUCUGGAGGCCAGGGUUCAAAUUCCUGCUCAUCCA